rnacentral:misc_RNA from 1 species
GUCAAUGUAGCAAGACUGGCUGGACUCCCUGAUUCUAUACUAGAAAAAGCUGCUGCAAAAUCCAGAGAAUUUGAGGCUGUAUAUGGCAAACACAGAAAUACUAGUGAUGAGAUGGGUAGUCUUCAUCCAAAAUUUGAUUGAUGUUGCUGCAAACUUGAGUUGCCAUAGUUUUGAUAGCAACUUGUUCAAUAAACUUCAGCAUAGAGCCAGGGUACUUCUGCAGCAAAAUUGAAGUGAUUUCAUCCUGUGUUACGAAACCGAGAUAGCAUUGCUCUCAUUUAAAAAAAAAAAAAAAAAAUGCACAGCAUUGCUUUCAAAUUUUGGGAUCAUCUGAUGAUAUGGGGUAAUCGUUGUAGCUAUUGUGUAUGCAAUUAUUAAAAUUGGAUUUGACAAUUACAUCUCGGCG